rnacentral:rRNA from 1 species
UGGGGAAUAUUGCACAAUGGGGGAAACCCUGAUGCAGCGACGCCGCGUGAGUGAAGAAGUAUUUCGGUAUGUAAAGCUCUAUCAGCAGGGAAGAAAAUGACGGUACCUGACUAAGAAGCCCCGGCUAACUACGUGCCAGCAGCCGCGGUAAUACGUAGGGGGCAAGCGUUAUCCGGAUUUACUGGGUGUAAAGGGAGCGUAGACGGCCAGGCAAGUCUGAUGUGAAAGGCGGGGGCUCAACCCCCGGACUGCAUUGGAAACUGUUUGGCUUGAGUGCCGGAGAGGUAAGCGGAAUUCCUAGUGUAGCGGUGAAAUGCGUAGAUAUUAGGAGGAACACCAGUGGCGAAGGCGGCUUACUGGACGGUAACUGACGUUGAGGCUCGAAAGCGUGGGGAGCAAACAGGAUUAGAUACCC